rnacentral:lncRNA from 1 species
CCUUUUGCAUUAGCCGUACCCUGUACUAUUUUGAGAGUAGUGGGAUGUAUAGGGUGAGGUUUGAGAGGGUUGUAUAUAUGUUGUCCAGUUUUGGAAGAAUGCAAGUUGUAAUAAUUGUAUAAAGUUAAAUGGAUUAAUAGUUAAGUACAUCUCUCUUUUGUCACUUGUAUGCUUUACAUGUGUUGCUUGCUCUUAGUUGAUAA